GGGAGGUGGAGCCCCUGGGGAGGGGCUGCUACCAGCCUGCAUGCUCCUCCAGCACCAGGUAGUGCUGUUCUAUCCCCAGACUACUCACUGCUGCUCACCUUCAUCUACAACGGGCGCGUGGUGGGCGAGGCCCAGGUGCAAAGCCUGGAUUGCCGCCUUGUGGCUGAGCCCUCAGGCUCUGAGAGCGGCAUGGAGCAGGUGCUGUUCCCCAAGCCUGGCCCACUGGAGCCCACACAGCGCCUGCUGAGCCAGCUUGAGAGGGGCAUCCUAGUGGCCAGCAACCCCCGAGGCCUCUUCGUGCAGCGCCUUUGCCCCAUCCCCAUCUCCUGGAAUGCACCCCAGGCUCCACCUGGGCCAGGCCCGCAUCUGCUGCCCAGCAACGAGUGCGUGGAGCUCUUCAGAACCGCCUACUUCUGCAGAGAUCCUCCAUGUAGCCUAUGCAUGGCACUCCUGCGCUUGUGUGUUGCAUAUCCUGUGUGGCCAUAUGCCCAGCCUGGCAGCUACCUGGCAGCUCUCCUCCAGCCAAGACAAUGGAAGAGGUGGUUCAGGUAGAGCCCAGCACAAGAGUGUCAUAUCUUGGAGAACACCAUCACACUGAAGCAUGCAGUCACUAUGUGAAGGUGCACAGAAGAAUUGGCACAGAGAUUUUGAGCCUCAUGGCCUUCUCCUACAUACACACAUUUGGGAGAGCAGGCACACAUCACACACAGUGGCCCUGGCUGUACCGUCUCUACCACACUCCAGGCAUGCCUUAGGGUUGCGCUUCUCUCCCAUCCAAUUCCAGCUCCUACUCAAUUCUAAACCUGACCUUAAG
rnacentral:sRNA from 1 species